UACGACUACAUAUCAGGCAUAUCAAUAAGCGGAGGAAAAGAAACUAACUAGGAUUCCCUCAGUAACGGCGAGUGAAGCGGGAAGAGCUCAAAUUUGAAAUCUUCAAGGUUUUACCUUGACGAAUUGUAGUUUAAAGAAGUGUUUUCUGUUGAAGUUUUCGGUAAAAGUUCUUUGGAAUAGGACAUCAUAGAGGGUGAGAAUCCCGUAUUUGACCAGUUACUUUCCAGCUGUUGUGAUACACUUUCAAAGAGUCGGAUUGUUUGGGAAUGCAGUCCAAAAUGGGUGGUAAAUUUCAUCUAAAGCUAAAUAUUGGCGAGAGACCGAUAGCGAACAAGUACCGUGAGGGAAAGAUGAAAAGAACUUUGAAAAGAGAGUUAAACAGUACGUGAAAUUGUCAAAAGGGAAGCGUUUGACACCAGUGUUGUUUUCUCGAAAAUCAAUUAAAAAGUAUGGGAUUUUGUAUUGUUAAGACCUUAUCAGCUUACGGUACUUUUUUCUUAUUCUUUUUAAUGCACUUUUCGUUUAACAAGUCAACAUCAAUUUCUUUUGUUGUAAAAGAGUCAUUGGAAGGUGGCUUUCACUUCGGUGAAAGUGUUUAUAGCCUUUGGCUUCUGCAAUCGGAGAGAUUGAGGUCUGCAGCGUAGAUCCUUCGGGGUUAGAUACGUAGAUGCUAAGUUAUAGUUUUUCAUAGACAACUUGUUGACUAUGAUUAAUCAUGUAGCUUACUCGUUUGCGCUAUUUUACCUACGCUUAGGAUGUUGAAUCUGUGCGAGACUA
rnacentral:rRNA from 1 species